rnacentral:misc_RNA from 1 species
GAAAGAGUGACUUACUUUCGUUAACUUAUAAAGAAAGCAAUCGCGAUCGAUAAAAUGAAGCGAGUAGAUCAACCUGUAACACAAUAUACGCAUAUAUCGCGUAAAAAGAAGUAAGAAUCAAACAAUGAUUCGCGACUCGUAGUUAAGACCCGGUGAUGAUUUAUUAUUGCAAUGGCGCGGCCUAUCCAGAUUAUGCAAUAAUACGUGGGGAUACUUCAUGCCACGUAGGCGACGCCAAUGGCGACGUUGUAGGCACGUGGCAGGGCACAUGCACCAGUGUUUACAGCUGCAAGUAACAAGAAAAAGUCAUUAUGAUGAAAUAAAGCAUGAUAAAAUAUACCUCGAUUGCUUCAUUUGCACUUUGCACACUGGCAUACUUUGCAUAACCACAAUUUUUCCCCGGAAGCAUGUAAACAUCUAUAAGGUUCCCAAAUCUACAGAAAGCAUCUUUCAUUGCAUAUAUUGGAGGUACUGGAGGUCCACAUACAAUGAAACACCUUUUAGCAACCUCUGCAUCUAUACUAGCCAUUGGUUGCACAGGUGGUAAUUUCACACACAUCGAAUGCUCUAAACCUAAUUAUGUAAAAAUAUAAUUAAACAAAAAAAUCAUACAUUAUCACAUUAUGUAGAUAAAAUAAUCUCUCACUUGGUGCAGUUAAUCCUGCAGCUUGAAUUAAAGAUGUAGCUUGAGCAAUAGUUUCAGCUAAAUGUGCCAAAUCUGUCCUAGCACUAGCAAUUCCAGCAGCAGAACUACCAGGUUUUAUUGCAUUUUUUGGUGGAGCACUUGAUAAAUCCGGCUUAACUAUCAUCCUAUGACCAGGAGGAUAUUCAAAACCAUGAAACUUUUCUCUUGCAUAUGCUGCUGCACUAGGAUUAGAAUAUACUACAACAGCCUGACCUCUUGGCAUUCUAUAUCGUACGUCAUUUUUCAAAUGACAAUAAUCCAAUCCAGGUACAAUGUCAAAUAAUUUCCAUAAUUGAUCUUGGUUCAAUGCUGGAUGUGCAAUUACUUGCAAAUGUGUAUAACCUUCGGAAUUAGGAUAAUUUGUGGCAAUUUCUAAACUAAUACUGCUCUUUCCAAAAUUUGAUGAACUAUAACCUCCACCAGCGCUAUCAUAAUGAGAAGAUAUUCCAUUGUUGUAUUUCACAUCAAUAUGUUCAGGUUUUGGUUUUUUUGGUUCUGCAAAUACAGCCUUGUAUUUUCUAUCACAUUCUUCAAAUGCUUUUGCUGCACUAGAUACUUUUUGAAAUUUUACAUAACCAAAGCCUUUUGAUUCAUUCGUAUUUCUGUCUUUAACUA